CCUACGGUGAGCAGCAGUGAGGAAUAUUGGUCAAUGGACGCAAGUCUGAACCAGCCAUGCCGCGUGCAGGAAGACGGCUCUAUGAGUUGUAAACUGCUUUUGUACGAGGGUAAACGCAGAUACGCGUAUCUGUCUGAAAGUAUCGUACGACUAAGGAUCGGCUAACUCCGUGCCAGCAGCCGCGGUAAUACGGAGGAUUCAAGCGUUAUCCGGAUUUAUUGGGUUUAAAGGGUGCGUCGGCGGUCGGAUAAGUUAGAGGUGAAAUCCCGAGGCUCAACUUCGGAAUUGCCUCUGAUACUGUUCGGCUAGAGAGUAGUUGCGGUAGGCGGAAUGUAUGGUGUAGCGGUGAAAUGCUUAGAGAUCAUACAGAACACCGAUUGCGAAGGCAGCUUACCAAGCUACUUCUGACGUUGAGGCACGAAAGCGUGGGGAGCAAACAGGAUUAGAUACCCCAGUAGUC
rnacentral:rRNA from 1 species